GCCACCCUAGCUCAGUGGUAGAGCAGUGCUUUCGUAAAGCACAGGUCGUGGGUUCGAGUCCCAUGGGUGGCU
rnacentral:tRNA from 1 species